rnacentral:rRNA from 1 species
GGUGGGACGACGUCAAGUCAUCAUGCCCUUAUGCCUGGGCUACACACGUGCUACAAUGGUUGGUACAACGAGUUGCGAGUCGGUGACGGCGAGCUAAUCUCUUAAAGCCAAUCUCAGUUCGGAUUGUAGGCUGCAACUCGCCUACAUGAAGUCGGAAUCGCUAGUAAUCGCGGAUCAGCACGCCGCGGUGAAUACGUUCCCGGGCCUU